rnacentral:rRNA from 1 species
GACNUUUUUCAGACUCCCGCGUAAUGCAUCCAGCAUUGGGCUUUAUGAUCCUGGACUCANCACUGAACGCUCGGUCGUUANGCCUAACACAUGCAAGUCGAACGGCAGCACAGGAGAGCUUGCUCUCUGGGUGGCGAGUGGCGGACGGGUGAGGGAUACAUCGGAAUCUACUCUGUCGUGGGGGAUAACGUAGGGAAACUUACGCUAAUACCGCAUACGACCUACGGGUGAAAGCAGUGGGAUCUUCGGACCUUGCGCGAUUGAAUGAGCCGAUGUCGGAUUAGCUAGUUGGCGGGGUAAAGUGCCCACCAAGGCGACGAUCCGUAGCUGGUCUGAGAGGAUGAUCAGCCACACUGGAACUGAGACACUGGUCCAGACUCCUACGGGAGGCAGCAGUGGGGAAUAUUGGACAAUGGGCGCAAGCCUGAUCCAGCCAUACCGCGUGGGUGAAGAAGGCCUUCGGGUUGUAAAGCCCUUUAUGUANAGGGAAAGAAAUCCAGCUGGCUAAUACCUUGGUUGGGAUGACGGUGCNCAUGNGNAGUUAGGCNGCCCGGCUUAGCUUGCGGUGGCCCCCGGCACCGCGCCCCCCGCNCGCGCGCGACGUUCCCCAGUGCACAGGCGGGGUGGGCAGNNNCGGGUUUCNACUUCCUGCGGANGUUUCCUCUUUGNGGGCGUGUUUAUCGGAGCGGUAUGGUNGUUCUGCGNUUGGNGNAUGCNNNGAGAGGCUCGCNNGGNUCNCNUGGCAGAUCCGUCCCGCUGGGGGCGUGCCGUGNCNUCCGGGGGACCGGCNCGGCGUGGCNGUACUNNGNGCGNACAUCCCAAACNCANNNGCUACAUACCGCCGCAGCGGCAGCCUAGCCGGUUUCACGC